rnacentral:tRNA from 1 species
GCCUCGGUAGCUUAGCCCAGCAGAGCGAUGGCCUUGUAAGCCAUUGAUCGUGGGUUCAAAUCCCACCCGAGGCU